AGAGUUUGAUCCUGGCUCAGGAUGAACGCUGGCGGCGUGCUUAACACAUGCAAGUCGAACGGUCUCUUCGGAGAUGGUGGCGGACGGGUGAGUAACGCGUGAGAAUCUGCCUUUAGGUUCGGGACAACAGUUGGAAACGACUGCUAAUACCGAAUGUGUCGCAAGAUGAAAGAUUUAUUGCCUAAAGAUGAGCUCGCGUCUGAUUAGCUAGUUGGUGGGGUAAAAGCGUACCAAGGCGACGAUCAGUAGCUGGUCUGAGAGGAUGUUCAGCCACACUGGGACUGAGACACGGCCCAGACUCCUACGGGAGGCAGCAGUGGGGAAUUUUCCGCAAUGGGCGAAAGCCUGACGGAGCAACGCCGCGUGAGGGAGGAAGGCUUUUGGGUUGUAAACCUCUUUUAUCAAGGAAGAUAAUGACGGUACUUGAUGAAUCAGCAUCGGCUAACUCCGUGCCAGCAGCCGCGGUAAUACGGAGGAUGCAGGCGUUAUCCGGAAUAAUUGGGCGUAAAGCGUUCGUAGGUGGUUUUGCAAGUCUGCUGUUAAAGCGUGUAGCUUAACUACAUAAUGGCG
rnacentral:rRNA from 1 species